GUGUCAGCCGCCGCGGUAAUACGAACUGUGCAAACGUUAUUCGGAAUCACUGGGCUUACAGGGUGCGUAGGCGGCUUGUUAAGUAGGGUGUGAAAGCCCCCGGCUCAACCGGGGAAUUGCGCUCUAAACUGGCGAGCUGGAGUGAGAUAGGGGUGUGUGGAACUUCCGGUGGAGCGGUGAAAUGUGUUGAUAUCGGAAGGAACGCCGGUAGCGAAAGCGACACACUGGGUCUUUACUGACGCUGAGGCACGAAAGCCAGGGGAGCGAACGGGAUUAGAAACCCGGGUAGUCC
rnacentral:rRNA from 1 species